rnacentral:piRNA from 1 species
UGGGAAGCAAAAUGCCUGAACCCACCAGG